CACAACGGGGUGGGUUCCCCGCCACAAUUCCUGGCCUUUCUUUCUGGCAUCCAAGGACUAGCGUCCCUCAGAGCUGAGAGGCUGAGUAAGGAACGUGGUAAGGACUUCUGAGCUCUCUCUGUGAGAUCUGGGACUUAGCACACCUACGUGGUCCAGGCAAAAGUUGGAGCAGAGAAGCGGAAGAAUCCCAUGGCUCUGAGUUGGCCUUCAUCUGGAAAAUGAGGCACCAAGUCUCCAGUUCUUACUUGAUCUCUCAAAAGAAAUAACAAGUGUGCUCCAGGCAGGCCCAGCCUGCCAAACAGAAGCUGAGGACAGCAGUGAGUGUGGCCCAACACAAAAUGGCUCCAGCUUUCCACAGCCAGGCUGUCCUUAGGAGCCACCACGUCCCCGGAGGCACGAAGGCCCACGACCGUCACUUCCUCCCCCAAGCAAGUCUGCAGAGGACCUAACACAGCCCUCCAAAGCCAAAGCAGCCUUCUCCUUAUCCACAGUGAAAUCAGCUGGGCCAGAAAACAGCUCCGCACAUCCGGCUGUUGGAGCCUGUCUGGGCUGGACACAGCUCUGGUCUUCCUCAUGAACGGUCUCCCCAUGGCUCUUCCUCUCCCUGGCCUGGCUGGGGCUCUAGUGACAGUUGCAGGAGGGAUGUUUUGGUCAAAGGGCACUAAGCAUCGUUUAUUAUCCCAGGAUUCCCCUGGGCAUUUACUGUGCCUGUCUUCCAUUGCUACCAGACUCAGAGAUGAGGGAAACAGACUCAAACAGCACGCGGUGUGGGGAGAGCAGGGAGGAAGUCUGGAUGAAUCACAGUGCGGUGCCCUAAAGCCUGGUUGAAGAGGCCCAGAGCAACAAGAGGGCAUCUGUGAUUCUGAGCAAGAAAGGAGCCUCUCGUCUGUGCUGUGGAGAACUGGGCUGGUAUUCCUGCCGUGAGUUGAAUGGUGGCCCUCAAGGAGGUUGGCCUAUGGGAGAGGAACAGACACAGGCAAAUCAUGCAACAUCAAGAAAAGUUGGAGGCAGACACAGGACAAGAAACGUGUGAGGUGUGAGCCCUGGAAGCUAUGAGAGGCAGGCAGUGUCUCUCCAGAGACUGUGGAGAGAACACCGUGCUGUUUGCACCUGGUUUUCAGGCUUUUGCCUCCAGAACGUCUCAAGGAGAGAUGCCCGCUGUCUGAGGCACUGGUUUUGUGGUUGUUCAUCAUGACAGUCACAGAGAACAAAUACCACUCCUGCAUCUGUUACAGUCACUGUCAGGACAAACUGGUGACCAACAGAGAGUUAGGACUGCGAGUAUCUUAUAGUGUCACAGCCUCUCUGUGAACCUGUGUUUAUGGAAGAGAGACAACUUGGGAAGGAUGAGAGGACACAGGUGUCCUUAGCUACUCUGCAUACACCCCAUGAGCGUAAGUCUGUGACAUCUUUCUUUGUUGUCCCUGGGAUGAAGAGAGGUUGCUUGGUCCAGUGGCAACACCAAUGCUCAAUCUCAUCUUCUGCAAAAUAAGAGCAAAAAUAAA